CGGACUGUAGGCUGCAACUCGCCUACACGAAGCUGGAAUCGCUAGUAAUCGCGGAUCAGCACGCCGCGGUGAAUACGUUCCCGGGUCUUGUACACACCGCCCGUCACACCAUGGGAGUCGGAAAUGCCCGAAGUCUGUGACCUAACCGUAAGGAAGGAGCAGCCGAAGGCAGGUCGGAUGACUGGGGUGAAGUCGUAACAAGGUAAC
rnacentral:rRNA from 1 species